rnacentral:rRNA from 1 species
ACGGAAGGCAGCAGUGGGGAAUAUUGCACAAUGGGGGAAACCCUGAUGCAGCGACGCCGCGUGAGCGAAGAAGUAUUUCGGUAUGUAAAGCUCUAUCAGCAGGGAAGAUAAUGACGGUACCUGACUAAGAAGCCCCGGCUAACUACGUGCCAGCAGCCGCGGUAAUACGUAGGGGGUAAGCGUUAUCCGGAUUUACUGGGUGUAAAGGGAGCGUAGACGGCGAUGCAAGUCUGAAGUGAAAGGACGGGGCUUAACUCUGUGACUGCUUUGGAAACUGUAUUGCUAGAGUGCCGGAGGGGUAAGCGGAAUUCCUAGUGUAGCGGUGAAAUGCGUAGAUAUUAGGAGGAACACCAGUGGCGAAGGCGGCUUACUGGACGGUAACUGACGUUGAGGCUCGAAAGCGUGGGGAGCAAACAGGAUUAGAUACCCUGGUA